GCAUGGUAGUCGAGUCGGUAAAGCGCUUAUCGUUAUCGAAUAUCGAUGGUUCGAAUCCAUCCCGAAGCA